UCUAGUUAAUAUGCAAAUUUAAGAUUGACAAAAUGCCAACAAGGGUUGUACUAUCACAGCAUGAAACUAUUGUACUGCAUGCUUCACAAAAUAUACAAGGGAAAUUUUUCAUUUUACUUUCUUUUCUGGCCUUUUUACUUGAUGGUGAGGCACGUGGAAGGCUACGUGUUGAGUAUCAACUACUUGCUAUAUAUAUAUUGAACAAUGCAGCCAAUGUUGCACCACUUUGUAAGACUAUCGACAUCUCUCUUUCACAGUCCUCACUUGGAAAAUUGAAAUUAUUGGGUCUCUGAUUUUUACAGGUCUACGCAUAUCUCCACCAGAACUUGCACUAACGUUGGAGCCUUUAUCUGAAGCUGAGUAAAUUCUAUGCAUAUAUCUUUCUGUUUUUAGGAGAAGUAAAAUUUAGUUUUCAAGAUUGUGCAAAGGGGCGGCAUUUGUUAAAUUUUGAAACCUCAUAUGCCCUUCCUUGAUUGGAAUUUUUUCCGCAUUAGUGUAACCUUUAACCUGGACUAUUUUAUGGAAAAAGUUAUUUGGUCAUUGAAUAUCAGGUUAAAACCUCAACUUCCUUGAAAAGAUAUCGCUGACUUUUGCCUACAUUUUGAUAAGUUACAAGGUUUUGCCAAUUUUCUUGCUCCCCAAAGUGUUCUUUAUUAGGACAUCAGAUUUCUAUUGUAGAAGCAAUAGCUGCCGAAUUUGAACCAAGAAGUGAUUUUGAGAAAAAGUUGCUUCUCUUUUCAAUGACCAUGAAGUUGUUGAAGCUCAUAGAAAAGAUGGUGCAAUACUUCUUGAACUUAAUAAGGACUGGAGAAUGUGAACGAGACAACAAGGACAAGAAAUUUAGGUUGGGGCCGUGAUUGAUAUGUUUUCGAGUAGCUUUAUCCGUCGGAGCAGUUACAAUUGCUUCAGCUGGAGCUAUUAAGCACUGCAGGCCAAGGUCAACGUGGAGAGAUUUAAUUGCAGAAUAUGUAUAUGUAGUUCAUAUAUGUAUAAUGGUUAAGUGGUCUUAUAUACUUGUAACUAAAAAAUCAAUAGUGCACAUAUUAUACAUAGCACAAAAAUUUAUCAA